rnacentral:rRNA from 1 species
UGGGGAAUAUUGCACAAUGGGCGAAAGCCUGAUGCAGCAACGCCGCGUGAGUGAUGAAGGCCUUCGGGUUGUAAAGCUCUGUCUUUUGGGACGAUAAUGACGGUACCAAAGGAGGAAGCCACGGCUAACUACGUGCCAGCAGCCGCGGUAAUACGUAGGUGGCAAGCGUUGUCCGGAUUUACUGGGCGUAAAGGAUGCGUAGGCGGAUUUUUAAGUGAGAUGUGAAAUACCCGGGCUUAACUUGGGUGCUGCGUUUCAAACUGGGAAUCUAGAGUGCGGGAGAGGAGAAUGGAAUUCCUAGUGUAGCGGUGAAAUGCGUAGAGAUUAGGAAGAACACCAGUGGCGAAGGCGAUUCUCUGGACCGUAACUGACGCUGAGGCAUGAAAGCGUGGGUAGCAAACAGGAUUAGAUACCCUGGUAGUCCACGCCGUAAACGAUGAGUACUAGGUGUAGGAGGUAUCGACCCCUUCUGUGCCGCAGUUAACACAAUAAGUACUCCGCCUGGGAAGUACGAUCGCAAGAUUAAAACUUAAAUGAAUUGACGGGGUCAUAGCUGUUUCCU